UACAAACUAACUGAACUUCCACUGGGAACUUUCUACUGCUCCAAAAUCUGUUCUGAAUCUCUGUAAUCUCAUGCUAUUUUCUAUGUUCAGCAGCAUUGAGUUUGAACUUGAUCCAACCACAGAAGUAGGUCUUUAGGCCUUAUGAAAGGCCAACAAGGCUGCAUCAAUCUGAUCUCUGGAGGAAGCAUAAGGGUGGAUAAAUCAAUGAAUAAACAAAUGGAUUUGUUUAUUCAGAAGAAUGCAAAGAUCCUCUGAACCAUGGUUGCUCUUCAAGCUGGAUUUACAAAUCCAGGAGCUCCAGAUUGAGUACUAGGUUCGUUCUGAAGUAGCACCACUGCAUCCAGAACCAAGGAUGGAAGGUCCCCGGCAUCAGCAUGUUCAGACAUCCAAAGCUACUCAGUCUUGCUUGAAUUGCGCUGCAGCCUGUUGCAUCCCAUCCAGGCCCCCACAGCCUCUAGGCAUUGGGACAGGUUAUCUACAACAUCACUUAGAUGGCCUGGGGUAGAGAUAUAAAACCAAGUAUCAUCAGCAUACUCACUCCACCAUCAGAUGUCCUUUCUCAAUAACUUUAUGUAGAGGGUACAGAGACACCUUCUCCUCCCACCAACACUGUCUGGAACCAGUCCCAGAAGAAGGAGUAGAAUAUUUUCAUUUGCAUGGCUGAGAACUUCCCUCAUCAUUCUUGUCCCCCAACUCCUGGGACAAGACAGUUUCUCUGUACUCUCCAGUGACGUGCGAGAGGAGGAGAGGAUACUGUUAAUCUAACCCUAAUGAAUGAACAUGGAUUGACUGCUUUUACCAAUGCUUUUACCUAUACCUCUUCUCUAAAUCCAUGCAUUGUGUCAAUGAACAGAAAUCAAAGUGGCAUAACAGGAGGUCAGCUGCUUGUGAUAGGUAUUUCUUCAUUUUCCAACUAUACUCCAUUUGAUGUGAAGGUCAAAAUUGGGGAUACUGCAGUUCAAAUUCAAACAGUAACAGAUCAUGGAAUCAGUGUAUUGCUGCCUUCUCUUGCAGAAGGAUUGCAUAAGCUUUCAAUAUUCCUCCAUCAUCUCCCACUCAACACACGUGGGUAAGAGGCUUGAUUUUUCAUGGUUAAAAUUUGCAAGGUAAUAGAAUUUUAAGAGAAAUAAUAAGACAAAUGAGAAUGGAACCUGAUGCC